ensembl:lncRNA
GUGAAAUAAUGCAAAGACGAGGCUCGCUGGGUCACAGUUUGGCAGUUGGGAGGAGGAGGACAGUAAAGAAUGUGGAGCUUUUAUUUGUCCUUUUACAUACAUCCGUGAAAUAAGUGAGAUAGUUACUCUGGCCGGAGUCUUCCUCCCGGGAGGGAAAGAGGACAACAGUAAGAAGGCUGUACAUUCUUAAUCUGAUAUGUUUCUGUUAAAAGACAUACACUCUCCAGCUUCAGCUCUCUUGGAGGGAACAAAUCCUAUCAGGAUAGCAUUGCAGUGUGAAGAGAAGAAGUAGGACAGCACCAUUGCCAGGACAUCUUCAUGGCUUCUGGACAUGCUGCCAGCCUGUGACCUUCUGCAAGGCGGUCUCAGAGCCAGCAGUGUAAAGGAUGAGAUGGAACUUCCUCCCACUGUCAUCACAAGCUGAGAGAAGAGAUGCUAACAGCCUGCUGUGUACUGCAGUGGAAGGCAGCUGGCACAGAAAGCGUGGAACCACAAGAAAAGGGAAAUCCAUUCAUCACAAUUCUGGAAUGCUGGAAAACUCACUGAGGAACUACAAAGGGCAGGUAAAGCAAAAGCAUUUAAAAUAGUUGCAGAUGAGCUGAUAAGAGGCUCAAAGAAACAGUUAAAUUUGUGUGCAGAUAACUUAACCACAGUAUCUGGAAUGUAUAAACAUAGCACUUUUUUUUCUUUUUUUUUUUUUAACUUUUUUUUUUCUGGCCUUAAAAUUUGAUCCAAGUCUGGGAGUUAAAAAGUCCCAUUUUGUGUAAUCAGGUUCUGGUUGAACAUGAUUGCUGAAUUAUUUUAAAUUGAAGACACAUGUCUGGAUGUUGAGUUCUGUAUAUUAUUCCAGGAUGGUGUCCAUUAGGUCUUAUCCACAGGGGCUAUCUUCAUUCCUUAUGCAUCAGGAUUAGCAAAUGGUGAAUCAUGAAUAUGGAGACAGUGUAAAGAAUGUGGUACUAGUUAAAGGGUGAUUUUGGAAAUUAUCUUGCAUGCAUUAUUCAAAACUUUUCAGUCUCUCCUGCACAGAGUCCCUAAGGCUGUUUCAAAGUGUUAUUUUAAAGCACACUUGUACAAGGCAUUUGCAUUCUUUCAUUUUGAAUCUUGAGUUUAGCAAUGAACCAACAUUUGCCUUAACCCCUUGUCAGUCCUAAAGCAUUCUCAAGAGUAUGAGUUGCUCAUCUAAUGGUUGCAUUGCCAUAUGCUGUCCUUCUGUAAUAGAUCUGCCCCUGACCUCUGUGUUUUUACAUUGCUUCUUUUACUGGCAGAUGGACCAUUACAUAAAUUGAAACAUAUUUUCAUGGAUACUCCCAGUGGUGAGAGAGUAUUGUCUCAUUAGCUCCAUGGGGAAAACAGUCUAAACCCAAAGCUGAGUAGCUCACCUGUCCAUAUGGUGGGUGAAAAGAGGUGUCCUUACAGCAUAUGCUACAGGCAGCGAUGUCUCCUGAAUUGCUGGAAGAUGAAAGUUCUGAGGUGUGGCAAGGAGACGAUGAACAAAGAGUUUGUCUUUUUCCUGUCUGGGCUGUCCAAAUGCUUGUGUAGUUUUUAAAGACCAGGCUGGAUGCUCUUUGGGUGCCCUGCAGCCAUGUACCACGGGUCAGCCACCACAGGAUACCCUGCCCGUAUCUUUUCCCCACACAGAGCUCCUGCAGGGAAGGUCUCUGAAAGUCUUCAUUCACCAUAUAUAUACAUAUAUAUAUAUAUAUUUAAUUAAAUGUAUCUUUUUGUUUGUUUUGUUAGUUUGUAUCAGAUCAAAAUAAAAAUGACAAA